rnacentral:rRNA from 1 species
GUGUCAGCAGCCGCGGUAAUACGGAGGGUGCGAGCGUUGCUCGGAAUCACUGGGCGUAAAGCGUACGCAGGCUGUUUCGUAAGUCGGGUGUGAAAGCCCGGGGCUCAACCCCGGAAUUGCGCCCGAGACUGCGGAGCUUGAAUGCGGGAGAGGGAAGCGGAAUUCCUGGUGUAGAGGUGAAAUUCGUAGAUAUCAGGAGGAACACCGGUGGCGAAAGCGGCUUCCUGGCCCGACAUUGACGCUCAUGUACGAGAGCGUGGGGAGCAAACAGGAUUAGAUACCCCUGUAGUCC